UUAAGAAUAAGCUAAAUUAAGCUAUUGGGCUCAUACCUCAAAUAUAAAGACGUUCUUUUUCUUAAA
rnacentral:tRNA from 1 species